AACGAACGCUGGCGGCAUGCCUAACACAUGCAAGUCGAACGAGACCUUCGGGUCUAGUGGCGCACGGGUGUGCAACGUGUGGGAACCUGCCCUUAGGCUCGGAAUAACACUCUGUCAGGGGUGCUAAUAUCGGAUAACGUCCUCGGAUCAAAGAUUCAUCGCCCUUGGAUGGGCCCGCGUUGGAUUAGCUAGUUGGUAGGGUAAAAGCCUACCAAGGCGACGCUCCAUAGCUGGUCUGAGAGGAUGAUCAGCCACACUGGGACUGAGACACGGCCCAGACUCCUACAGGAUGCAGCAAUGGGGAAUAUUGGACAAUGGACGAAAGCCUGAUCCAGCAAUGCCGCUUAAGUGAUGAAGUCCUUAGAGAUAUAAAGCUCUUUUACCCGGGAUGAUAAUGACAGUACCGAAAGAAUAAGCUCCGGCUAACUCCGUG
rnacentral:rRNA from 1 species